CUCAAAAUAACUCAACACACAGCCAUUAAUGUCUAAACCGCUGGCAACAAAAGUGAGUACAUCCCUAAGUGAAAAUGUCCAGAUUGGGCCCAAUUAGCCAUUUUCCCUCCCCGAUGUCAUGUGACUUGUUUGUGUUACAAGGUCUCAGGUGUAAAUGGGGAGCAGGUGUGUUAAAUUUGGUGUCAUCGCUCUCACACUCCCUCAUACUGGUCACUGGAAGUUCAACAUGGCACCUCAUGGCAAAGAACUCUCUGAGGAUCUGAAAAAAAGAAUUGUUGCUCUACAUAAAAGAUGGCCUAGGCUAUAAGAAGAUUGCCAAGACCCUGACACGGAGCUGCAGCACGGUGGCCAAGACCAUACAGCGGUUUAACAGGACAGGUACCACUCAGAACAGGCUUCGCCAUGGUCGACCAAAGAAGUUGAGUGCACGUGCUCAGCGUCAUAUCCAGAGGUUGUCUUUGGGAAAUAGACGUAUGAGUCCUGCCAACAUUGCUGCAGAGAUUGAAAGGGUGGGGGGUCAGCCUGUGAGUGCUCAGACCAUACGCUGCACACUGCAUCAAAUUGGUCUGCAUGGCUGUCGUCCCAGAAGGAAGCUUCUUCUAAACAUGAUGCACAAGAAAGCCUGCAAACAGUUUGCUCAAGACUAGGAGACUAAAGACAUGGAUUACUGGAACCAUGUCCUGUGGUCUGAUGAGACCAAGAUGGUGUCAAGCAUGUGUGGUGGCAACCAGGUGAGGAGUACAAAGACAAGUGUGUCUCGACUACAGUCAAGCAUGGUGGUGGGAGUGUCAAGGUCUGGAGCUGCAUGAGUGCUGCCGGCACUGGGGAACUACAAUUUAUUGAGGGAACCAUGAAUGCCAAUAUGUAUUGUGACAUACUGAAGCAGAGCAUGAUCAGUAUGCAGUAUUCCAGCAUGAUAAAGACCACUGCCUUGCUAAAGAAGCUGAGGGUGAAGGUGAUGGACUGGCCUAGCAUGUCUCCAGACCUAAACCCUAUUGAGCAUCUGUGAGGCAUCCUCAAAUGGAAGGUGGAGGAGCACAAGGUCUCUAACAUACACCAGCUCCGUGAUGUCAUCAUAGAGGAGUGGAAGAGGACCCCCGUGGCAACCUGUGAAGCGCUGGUGAACUCCAUGCCCAAGAGGGUUAAGGCAGUGCUGGAAAAUAAUGGUGGCCACACAAAAUAUUGACACUUCGGGCCCAAUUUGGACAUUUUCACUUAGGGGUGUACUCACUUUUGUUGCCAGCGGUUUAGACAU
ensembl:lncRNA